GAGCCGUGCGGUGAGCACAGAGCGAACUAUUCUUUCGCCUUUUACUAAAGAAUACCGUGUUUUUGGAGGGCUUUCCUUUGGAGGUGAGUCCUACAUAUCUCUAGUUUUAAAAAAAUUUAAUU